ACAUCGGUAGCUCAAUAGGUAGAGCGGCGGUCUCCAAAACCGCAGGUUGCAGGUUCGAGUCUUGUCCGAUGUG
rnacentral:tRNA from 1 species